GAAAGAUAUAGAGAAACCAGUGAUAUUUUUUGAUUGGAAGAAAUACCUUCAGCAGUAUUUUAAAACACUGAAGCAUAUCAGCACGUAUCACCACUUUACGGUUGAUUCAACCAAACCUGGAUAUGUUGUUUGUAGAGUCCUGUGACUCUGUACCUAUAACAGACAAUUUGUUAAAAGAGAAUACUCUUAUAUCAACAGAUUUUGACACUUUGACACCAAAAGGAUUAGAUGCAGCCAGACAGUGGUAUUUGUACUAACAAAUCAGGAACUUUGCUAUAACGACGCUAAUAAAGAUGUCAGUUGUCCAAAGCCAACAAUUGCUAAAACUGAGGUUGACUUGACCAGUGAUGUGGAUACCAGAAAACACAAAUGUCCAUCAAGGAAGCAGAAUCUACUGAAUUAAAUUACCC
rnacentral:lncRNA from 1 species